rnacentral:rRNA from 1 species
GACGAACGCUGGCGGCGUGCUUAACACAUGCAAGUCGAACGAUGAAGCCGGAGCUUGCUCUGGUGAAUUAGUGGCGAACGGGUGAGUAACACGUGAGUAACCUGCCCUUGACUCUGGGAUAACUGCGGGAAACUGUAGCUAAUACCGGAUACGACCCUCGGAGGCAUCUCCUGGGGGUGGAAAGAAUUUCGGUCAAGGAUGGACUCGCGGCCUAUCAGCUAGUUGGUGAGGUAAAGGCCCACCAAGGCGACGACGGGUAGCCGGCCUGAGAGGGUGACCGGCCACACGGGGACUGAGACACGGCCCAGACUCCUACGGGAGGCAGCAGUGGGGAAUAUUGCACAAUGGGCGCAAGCCUGAUGCAGCAACACCGCGUGAGGGAUGACGGCCUUCGGGUUGUAAACCUCUUUUAGCAGGGAAGAAGCGAAAGUGACGGUACCUGCAGAAAAAGCACCGGCUAACUACGUGCCAGCCGCCGCGGUAA